rnacentral:rRNA from 1 species
GACGAACGCUGGCGGCGCGCUUAACACAUGCAAGUCGAGCGAAGCGGCGGACGGGCGAGUAACACGUGAGUAACCUGCCUUAGACAUGGGGAUAGCCUCGGGAAACCGGGAGUAAGACCAAAUGGUCUAAGAUGGACUCGGGUCCCAUUAGCUAGUUGGUGAGGUAACGGCCCACCAAGGCGACGAUGGGUAGCCGGCCUGAGAGGGUGACCGGCGACUUUGGACCUGGGAAGCAGUCCAAACUCUACGGGAGGCAGCAGUGGGGAAUAUUGCACAAUGGCGGGAACUCUGAUGCAGCGACGCCGCGUGAGCGAAGAAGGCUUUCGAGUCGUAAAGUUCUUUUAUAUGGGAAGCGGUACCAUCAGAAAAAGCCCCGGCUAACUACGUGCCAGCAGCCGCGGUAAUUC